CCUACGGGGGGCAGCAGUGAGGAAUAUUGGUCAAUGGACGAGAGUCUGAACCAGCCAAGUAGCGUGAAGGAUGACUGCCCUGUGGGUUGUAAACUUCUUUUAUAUGGGAAUAAAACGUUCCACGUGUGGGAUUUUGUAUGUACCAUAUGAAUAAGGAUCGGCUAACUCCGUGCCAGCAGCCGCGGUAAUACGGAGGAUCCGAGCGUUAUCCGGAUUUAUUGGGUUUAAAGGGAGCGUAGGUGGAUUGUUAAGUCAGUUGUGAAAGUUUGCGGCUCAACCGUAAAAUUGCAGUUGAAACUGGCAGUCUUGAGUACAGUAGAGGUGGGCGGAAUUCGUGGUGUAGCGGUGAAAUGCUUAGAUAUCACGAAGAACUCCGAUUGCGAAGGCAGUUCACUGGACUGCAACUGACACUGAGGCUCGAAAGUGUGGGUAUCAAACAGGAUUAGAUACCCCAGUAGUC
rnacentral:rRNA from 1 species